GCGCGUCCGGACACCCGAUCCCAGCAUCCCUGCCUGCAGGACUGUUCGUGUUCAGCUCGCGUCCUGCAGCUGUCCGAGGUGCUCCAGUUGGAGGCUGAGGUUCCCGGGCUCUGUAGCUGAGUGGGCGGCGGCACCGGCGGAGAUGCCUGGGAAGAAGGCGCGCAAGAACGCUCAACCGAGCCCCGCGCGGGCUCCAGCAGGACCGGCGGGUACGGCGGGUACGGCGAGGGACCAAGCCGGAUUUGCGAUUGGGAUGCAGCUGCGUUUCACCAGGGGCAAAAAGCUCCUUUCCUCCUCUCUUUCCUCCUCGCCACUUGCCCUUCCCCGGGGCCACGAGGAACAAGUGCAAGUGUAGGCGGCUGUCUCUAGGAGAAAGUCAUUGUCGCGGCAGAAGGGGCAGGAGAGAGCCCCGGGGACCGCCUGGACUCCCAGCGCUUCCAGAGACGGCCCCACAAGGGCCCCUGUGUUCAGGAGCCUAGAAAAUCUUAGCUGGAAGUCGAGUGUGCUACUCAACUCAGGAGAUUUGGAGACAAACUGAACUUCCGGCAGAAACUUCUGAAUCUGAUAUCCAAACUCUUCUGCUCAGGAACCUGACUGCAUCAAAAACUUGCAUGAGGGGACUCCUUCAAAAGAGUUUUCUCAGGAGGUGCACGUUUCAUCAAUUUGAAGAAAGACUGCAUUGUAAUUGAGAGGAAUGUGAAGGUGCAUUCAUGGGUGCCCUUGGAAACGGAAGAUGGAAUACAUCAAAGUGAAUUUCUGUUCAAGUUUUCCCAGAUUAUCAUUCUUUGGGAUGAGAGAACAUUA
rnacentral:lncRNA from 1 species